GACGAACGCUGGCGGCGUGCUUAACACAUGCAAGUCGAACGAUGAGCCCGGAACUUGCUCCGGUGGAUUAGUGGCGAACGGGUGAGUAACACGUGAGUAACCUGCCCUUGACUCUGGGAUAACUGCGGGAAACUGUAGCUAAUACCGGAUACGACCCUCGGCGGCAUCGCCAGGGGGUGGAAAGAAUUUCGGUCCAGGAUGGACUCGCGGCCUAUCAGCUAGUUGGUGAGGUAACGGCUCACCAAGGCGACGACGGGUAGCCGGCCUGAGAGGGUGACCGGCCACGCUGGGACUGAGACACGGCCCAGACUCCUACGGGAGGCAGCAGUGGGGAAUAUUGCACAAUGGGCGCAAGCCUGAUGCAGCAACGCCGCGUGAGGGAUGACGGCCUUCGGGUUGUAAACCUCUUUUAGUAGAGAAGAAGCGAAAGUGACGGUACCUGCAGAAAAAGCACCGGCUAACUACGUGCCAGCCGCCGCGGUAA
rnacentral:rRNA from 1 species